CUAGUUGGCGGGGUAACGGCCCACCAAGGCGACGAUGGCUAGGGGAUCUGAGAGGAUGGCCCCCCACACUGGUACUGAGACACGGACCAGACUCCUACGGGAGGCAGCAGUAAGGAAUAUUGGUCAAUGGGCGCAAGCCUGAACCAGCCAUGCCGCGUGCAGGAAGACGGCCCUCCGGGUUGUAAACUGCUUUUAUACCGGAAUAAACCUCCCUACGUGUAGGGAGCUGAAUGUACGGUAGGAAUAAGGAUCGGCUAACUCCGUGCCAGCAGCCGCGGUAAUACGGAGGAUCCGAGCGUUAUCCGGAUUUAUUGGGUUUAGAGGGUGCGUAGGCGGCCUGUUAAGUCAGGGGUGAAAGACGGUGGCUCAACCAUCGCAGUGCCCUUGAUACUGACGGGCUUGAAUCAACUAGAGGCAGGCGGAAUGUGACAAGUAGCGGUGAAAUGCAUAGAUAUGUCACAGAACACCGAUUGCGAAGGCAGCUUGCUAUGGUUGUAUUGACGCUGAGGCACGAAAGCGUGGGGAUCAAACAGGAUUAGAUACCCUGGUAGUCCACGCCCUAAACGAUGAACACUCGCUGUUGGCGAUACACGGUCAGCGGCUAAGCGAAAGCGUUAA
rnacentral:rRNA from 1 species